UCAGACUGGUCUCGAACUCCUCAUCUCAAGAGAUCCACCCACCUGGGCCUCCCAAAGUGCUGGGGUUACCGAGCCACUGCUACUGCGAGUGAGAACUUCCUUGAUGCCUUUUGGCCAAUCAGAUGGUGCUUUUUCCAG